CCUACGGGAGGCUGCAGUGAGGAAUAUUGGUCAAUGGGAGAGAUCCUGAACCAGCCAAGCCGCGUGAGGGAAGACGGCCCUAUGGGUUGUAAACCUCUUUUGUCUGAGAACAAAACCCGGGACGUGUCCCGGACUGCGUGUAUCCGAAGAAAAAGCAUCGGCUAACUCCGUGCCAGCAGCCGCGGUAAUACGGAGGAUGCGAGCGUUAUCCGGAUUUAUUGGGUUUAAAGGGUGCGUAGGCGGUCCGUUAAGUCAGCGGGAAAAUUGCGGGGCUCAACCCCGUCGAGCCGUUGAAACUGGCAGACUUGAGUUGGCGAGAAGUACGCGGAAUGCGCGGUGUAGCGGUGAAAUGCAUAGAUAUCGCGCAGAACUCCGAUUGCGAAGGCAGCGUACCGGCGCCAGACUGACGCUGAGGCACGAAAGCGUGGGGAUCGAACAGGAUUAGAUACCCCUGUAGUC
rnacentral:rRNA from 1 species